AACAACAGGUCUGGGAACAGCUGCUUUGGUCUGCGGUACAUCAACAUGGAUGAGGUGGUGGAGGAGGAGCAGGAGGAACAACAGGUCUGGGAACAGCUGCUCAGCCCUGCAGUACAUCAACAUGGAUGAGGUGGUGGUGGAGGAGCAGGGAGGAACAACAGGUCUGGGAACAGCUGCUUUGGUCUGCGAUACAUCAGCAUAGAACUACAUAAAACUUCUAAUUCUGGGUCAGGUUAUUGUGGAGGAGGGGGGCGUUUGAAGAGUAAGGACGUGCAGGAGGCAAAGCAACAGGUCAACAUCAGCAUCAAACUUUAACACUGACUCAGGAUCAGAUUGUGGUGCUUUUCAUGGACUUAACCAGCAUGCAGACAGACCCUCUGGACUGACCAUCUGACUAUACAUCCUGGGUGUUAUCACCAUGGUUACCAGACUCUACUUAGGUACAUCUACAUCCUGGGUGUUAUCACCAUGGUUACCAGACUCUACUUAGGUACAUCUACAUCCUGGGUGUUAUCACCAUGGUUACCAGACUCUACUUAGGUACAUCUUUAGUCUUAUUUGGAAAAUGAUCAGAUGAUUGAAGUUGUGAGAUGAGAUGGAUGCAUGUAAUAUUAUAUACAUGAAUAACUCUCAACAGGACAGUUUACCAUAGAAACAUCUGGAACAAGCAGCAGCUUGGGUCUCAACAGGACAGUUUACCAUAGAAACAUCUGGAACAAGCAGCAGCUUGGGUCUCAACAGGACAGUUACCAUAGAAACAACACCAUGAACAAACAGCAGCUCUGGUCUUAACUCAACAGGACAGUUACCAUGGAAACAACACCAUGAACAAACAGCAGCUCUGGUCUUAGCUCAACAGGACAGUUUCCAUGGAAACAACACCUGGAACAAGCAGCUACAGUUUUUACAAAACAUUUCUAAUUUUCCGUAUUUGAUUGAACACAUUUGGGGGAGAUGUAGAACAGAUUCCACACAAAUCGAUUCUCAGGCCAUCGUUUUUACACUGAACUGUAUAAUGACCUCUGGCACUGAGAACAAUGCCAUUGUACAGCCUGGUAUUGUAUUUUAACCUAAUUCUAUUUUGGUAAUAUUUUUUGGCAGUUGGUAUCUUGUGGAAAAAACAAGUAUUGUCAAGUGCUCUAUUCCACUGUAUGUUUUAAAUGAAUUAAAGUGCAUUACCAAA